rnacentral:rRNA from 1 species
AAUUUUGGACAAUGGGGGAAACCCUGAUCCAGCCAUCCCGCGUGUAUGAUGAAGGCCUUCGGGUUGUAAAGUCCUUUCGACGGGGAAGAUAAUGACGGUACCCGUAGAAGAAGCCCCGGCUAACUUCGUGCCAGCAGCAGCGGUAAGACGAAGGGGGCUAGCGUUGCUCGGAAUCACUGGGCGUAAAGCGCACGUAGGCGGCUUUUUAAGUCAGGGGUGAAAUCCUGGAGCUCAACUCCAGAACUGCCUUUGAUACUGGAGAGCUUGAGUUCGGGAGAGGUGAGUGGAACUGCGAGUGUAGAGGUGAAAUUCGUAGAUAUUCGCAAGAACACCAGUGGCGAAGGCGGCUCACUGGCCCGAUACUGACGCUGAGGUGCGAAAGCGUGGGGAGCAAACAGG